rnacentral:rRNA from 1 species
GACGAACGCUGGCGGCGUGCUUAACACAUGCAAGUCGAACGGAAAGGCCCUGCUUUUGUGGGGUGCUCGAGUGGCGAACGGGUGAGUAGCACGUGAGUAACCUGCCCUUGACUUUGGGAUAACUUCAGGAAACUGGGGCUAAUACCGGAUAGGAGCUCCUGCUGCAUGGUGGGGGUUGGAAAGUUUCGGCGGUUGGGGAUGGACUCGCGGCUUAUCAGCUUGUUGGUUGGGUAGUGGCUGACCAAGGCUUUGACGGGUAGCCGGCCUGAGAGGGUGACCGGCCACAUUGGGACUGAGAUACGGACCAGACUCCUACGGGAGGCAGCAGUGGGGAAUAUUGCACAAUGGGCGGAAGCCUGAUGCAGCAACGCCGCGUGCGGGAUGACGGCCUUCGGGUUGUAAACCGCUUUCGCCUGUGACGAAGCGUGAGUGACGGUAAUGGGUAAAGAAGCACCGGCUAACUACGUG